UACGAAGGGGGCUAGCGUUGUUCGGAAUCACUGGGCGUAAAGGGCGCGUAGGCGGCCUGAUAAGUCGGGGGUGAAAGCCUGUGGCUCAACCACAGAAUUGCCUUCGAUACUGUUAGGCUUGAGACCGGAAGAGGUAAGUGGAACUGCGAGUGUAGAGGUGAAAUUCGUAGAUAUUCGCAAGAACACCAGUGGCGAAGGCGGCUUACUGGUCCGGUUCUGACGCUGAGGCGCGAAAGCGUGGGGAGCAA
rnacentral:rRNA from 1 species